CUGCCCCUUCCACCUGGUCACUUUCUCUCUGCCUGGCUCCCCAAAUCUGGCUCCAGCGACUUCCUUUCUCUCUUGGCAAGCCAAGCCCUUUCCCCAUCAAGCCCUUGUACCCGGACCAUUCUUCCUCCAGACCUUCACCCACUGUUUUCUUCUCAUCAUUCAAGUCUCUGCUCAAGUGUGACCCCUCUAGGAGAGCUCUUCCCUGACCCCAGUUCUAAAGUUCACUCCUGGUCAUUCUGCGUAACACCUCUGUCUGCCCCACGAGAACAUCUCUUGUUUGUACUGCAUUUCCAGUGCUCAGAACAGUGCCAGGCCUUGGUAAUCUUUCUAAAAAUACUUGUGAAAUGAACAAAUGUUAAUCCACAAGUUAGACUUGGUAGCGGGCAGCUUCCCAGCCUGGCCCUCGAGUGACAGGGAGAGGCCAUCUGACAGCUUGAAAACCAGUACGAGCCUAGAAGUUAAGUGGCCUGAGUCCUGGUCCCUUUCCUUAUUGUUGCCACCAGAGCCUCCGUGUCCUCACCUGUCCUGGAGGGAACCAGAUUGGCCGAUCUCAGCGGUCACGUGCUGGCCACCUCUGUGACUCCAGCGCACCACCCGUCCAGCACACCACCCAUCCAGCACAGGCAGAGGAGCCGAUGAGCAGGUCCUGGGGGUAUCCACAGCUGCAGCACCUCCCCUUUCCAUGGGCUCCUGAUGUUGGAGGAGAUGCCUCGCUUUUUCUGGCCUAAAACUGAGACUUAAAUAGCAAGCAGUACUGUAGAGGCAGCGAGUUGCCCUGGGCAGGGAACCCGCCCCAGACAGACCCUGGUCUGCAUCUCCGCUCCCUGCUUCAGACGUUUUCCUACCUUCUCUGCACUGCAGCUUUGGCAGAUAGGAACGCUCAUACCCUGCUUACAGGUUUGCACGAGGAUUUGUGGGUUCCUCUGUGAGAAACUGAAGAAAGAUCAACUCCUUUCUGGUUAUCUUAGAAAAGCCUGGGAACCUAAAACUCACCUUCUGAGCACCCAAGAGAUGGCCAUGUGACAGAGUUCUGGCCCAUAAUAUAGAAAUGGAUAUUUGUUGGACAGAUCAUCUCCUCCUAAUUAAAAAAAAACAAAGUUUCCAGAAGAGAAGAACUUUAAUCUCCUUCCCACGUCUCUUUUCCUCUCACCUGUAAUACGGAUGUGAUGGUUGAAGGUGCAGCAGCCCUUUUGCAACCAUGAGGCAAGGCACGAGGAUGAACCCCACCAGGAGCGUGGGGCCCGGAGGCCACAUGUGACAGAGAGAGAAGUUUGCAGAAGAAGGUCCUGGUCAGGAGCUUCUGGUGAAUCAGCCCCACAGGGGACUGCUCCAGAGAGGAUGAGGACUCUGGCCGGCUCCUCUAGUUGGACCCGCUGUCCAGGGGGCUGGACCAUCACUCGUGGCCAUCACUGUGUAUUGGGGCAGCAUCUCAAUCUGAAUAUGUUUCCAAGCCAUGAAUCGUGAGACAGAAAUUCCACUUGCACAUACCUGGGUGCAUAAAAUGUAUCAGGGAAUUCACACCAUGGAUAAAGAAGAGGAAGGGGGCUCAGAGAGGUGAAGUGACUUCCUCAAAGCCACCUAGCUGUUUAAUGACGGAGCUGGGACCAGAGCCAGGGCCGCCGAGCCCUGCAGGGGUGCUCCUCCUCCACAUCACGCCAUGUCUUUACCUCCCGUGGACAGACACGCUCUUCCAGGGAGAGAUGCUGGGAAGGAGACUCACUUCUAUCAGAAUCCUGUUUUCUGGGAACUGUGCUCAAUGCUUCAUCCACUAAGGCUCAUUUGAUUCUCACAAUCCAUCUGCCGGAGAGAGAGAGGACCAUUAAGCCGGCUUUACACGGAUGGAGAGAUUAACCUACUGAUCUGGAAGAUCACAAGGCCCAGGCUCUGGCCAGAUGUCCCCUUCCUCCUCCUCCUUCCUCCCUGGGCCUCUCUCACAGCUGGAAGCAUCCUCUGAGAGCCUCAAGUGGGAGGCUUUAAGUGACCAUGGAACCUCUUGGUGACAUCCAGCUCAUGCCUGCUGCUUGGAAUCGGACUGGUUUCCCUCCAGGGAAAAACGCCCCCCCGUCUCAGCACCUCUCAUGAGCGCGUCCCCAGGCUGUGGGGCUUUUGGUGUGGAAGUGCCUUUAAAACAAGGGUUGUGUCUCUUAUUCACAUGUCUUCCUCCUCGGGUGCCUAAUCCAAGGCUUGGACGCAGUAAGUGGUUUUGUAACUGACAUUGGAAUCGCAGAGGGGAAGGAAGGCUGGCUUUGCAGCUCCCAAGGGUUCAGGCUACCCUCUGAGAAAUCCAGUUUUGGGAAGGUUCUGGCAACACAUAUUCAAAUGAUACCACUUUUGGGAAAUUAUCAUAUGGAAGUAAAAGGUCCUGUUCACAAGGGUAUAUGUGAAAGAAUGUUUAUUGCAAAAUUAGAGUGACAGGAAACGAGGAGCGACUUGAAAAUCCAUCAACAGGGUGCUGGAUUACAAAAGUAUGGUUUGUCCACGCAGUGAGGCAUUUGACAGCUUUUAAAGGUCGUAACUUGGAUGAGCAUGUGGUAACCUGGAAAGAAGCCUAUCAUACACUGUUUAAUGAAUAAACCAAGUUGCUAAGCAAUGUAUAUAAUACGAUUCCACUUCUAUACAAAGUACAGAUGGCCCCUGACUUAUGGAGUUUCAAUUUACGAUUUUACGACUUUAUGAUGGUGCAAAAGUGCUAGGAAGGCGUUCAGUAGAAACCAUACUUUGAAUGUUGAAUUUUGAUCUUUUCCUGGUCUAGCAACAGGCAGUCAAAUACACUCUGGGGAUGCUGGGCAGAGAGGACAGCCCCCAGGAGACCCCGCAAUCACGAGGGUGAACAACCACCACACUUAGAAUCAUCCUGUACCCAGCCAGCCACUGUGUUUUUCACUGUCAGUAUAGUGUUCAGUCAAUUACAUGAGAUGUUCAACACUUUAUUCUGAAACAGGCUUUGUGCUGGGUGCUCUUGCCCAGCAGUAGGCUGUAAAUGCACUGAGAUGUUUAGGUAGGUGAGGCUCACCUGUGACGUUCAGGAGGUUAUGUCAAUUGAAUGCAUUUUUGACCUGUGGUAUUUUCAGUUCAGGAUGGGUUUAUUGGCAUGUAACCCCACUUUUUUUUAAAUUGGAGUAGAGUUGAUUUACAAUGU